rnacentral:rRNA from 1 species
GAUCAUUACUAGAGCAAAGGAUAGACAGCGCCCGCGGAGCUCGCUCCCGGGGCUACCCUACUCCCGUAGGGUUUAGAGUCGUCGGGCCUCUCGGAGAAGCUCGGUCCUGAACUCCACCCUUGAAUAAACUACCUUUGUUGCUUUGGCGGGCCGCCUCGUGCCAGCGGCUUCGGCUGUUGAGUGCCCGCCAGAGGACCCCAACUCUUGUUUUUAGUGAUGUCUGAGUACUAUAUAAUAGUUAAAACUUUCAACAACGGAUCUCUUGGUUCUGGCAUCGAUGAAGAACGCAGCGAAAUGCGAUAAGUAAUGUGAAUUGCAGAAUUCAGUGAAUCAUCGAAUCUUUGAACGCACAUUGCGCCCUCUGGUAUUCCGGGGGGCAUGCCUGUUCGAGCGUCAUUAUAACCACUCAAGCUCUCGCUUGGUAUUGGGGUUCGCGGUUUCGCGGCCCCUAAAAUCAGUGGCGGUGCCUGUCGGCUCUACGCGUAGUAAUACUCCUCGCGAUUGAGUCCGGUAGGUCUACUUGCCAGCAACCCCUAA